UACGGAGGGGGCUAGCGUUGUUCGGAAUUACUGGGCGUAAAGCGCGCGUAGGCGGCUUUGUAAGUUAGAGGUGAAAGCCCGGGGCUCAACUCCGGAAUUGCCUUUAAGACUGCAUCGCUUGAACACGGGAGAGGUGAGUGGAAUUCCGAGUGUAGAGGUGAAAUUCGUAGAUAUUCGGAAGAACACCAGUGGCGAAGGCGGCUCACUGGACCGUUGUUGACGCUGAGGUGCGAAAGCGUGGGGAGCAAACAGG
rnacentral:rRNA from 1 species